rnacentral:lncRNA from 1 species
GGUCCUCCUAAAUUUGGUUAUCAUCCAUACAUAUCUUCCACUUGGUUGUGUGCCACUGAGGAUAGGUUGGCUAUCAAAGACUAUUUAAGGUUUCAUAGCAGCAAAAUGGUAGGGUAUUAUGGGAGAUUGGACACUGGGAGGAAGAUGAGUGUGUAUGGGAGCUCUCGUGGAUGCAAACGUUGUAUGAUAGCCGCUCUUGAUAAGGAGAAUGCCUGGUUUUGAAAACAUGAUCAUUUUGGAUUGUUCUUAGUGAAGUCGACUUACUCAUUCCUUGCUAGGGGGUGGGGGUAUGGUGUGGUCCUGACGACUGAGGUCUCUGAUUUCCUUGGUUAGGUUGAUGUCUUGGGCUCCGUCUAAAGGGGUUCUUUUUCUAUUGGCAACUUGUGCAAGAUAAAAAAAACUUACGCAAGAUAAGGUGCGCUAACUCGAGAGAACCUCAUUAGCCUCAGUGGUAAUCCGUUGGAGAGAACGGAUCACCAUUUUUUUUCUUCUUGUGGAACUAUCUUUCCUUUGUUGUACUAUAUAAAUGGGUGGUUGGGUUUGAAAUUUGUGUCUCCUCGUGAGCUUUGCAAUAUGUCAAAAUCAUGGUCAUUUAUAC